UACGUAGGGAGCUAGCGUUGUCCGGAAUCAUUGGGCGUAAAGCGCGCGUAGGCGGCCCGGUAAGUCCGCUGUGAAAGUCAAAGGCUCAACCUUUGAAUGUCAGCGGAUACUGCCGGGCUAGAGUCCGGAAGAGGCGAGUGGAACUCCUGGUGUAGCGGUGGAAUGCGCAGAUAUCAGGAGGAACACCGAUGGCGAAGGCAGCUCGCUGGGACGGUACUGACGCUGAGGCGCGAAAGCGUGGGGAGCGAACAGG
rnacentral:rRNA from 1 species